UCGACGACAGACAUGAAACCAAUUCUCUCUCCAGCAAAUAAGGAACCAUUUUUGUGGUUCACAACUAUUAGUUAAAUACAUCGAUUCAUGUACUGACGUGUUAUAAUUAAAAAAACCCACGAGUGAAUCGAGUACAUUUUGGAAUUUACUCAAAUGCAGCCGCCAUGAAAUACGAAACCUUUCCGCUACCAAGAUAUCUCAUGAAUAAGAUUGAAUUGAGUCUUGUGUUGUGUAAUUUACAAUUAUCACCAGGUGCGGAGUACUCAACCUUAAUAAUAAAAGCAUAAAACCGUAAUCUUCAUUAGUUACUCAAAAUGAACAGUUAUGAGAAUGCUAAAACAAUUAUGAACUCAUAGUUCACUCGUAAUUCGUACUCUUGGCCAUUUCUUUGGCACCUUCUCCGUUGUUUGUUGCCUGAAUCUAAAUUGGCUAUAUUCUUACAAAUAUUAUGAUGUAAUAGUACCACUGACCCUACCUAAACCGUAAUUAUAGUUAUCUUAACAAAAUACUUGAACAGCUAUCAAGUGCAAAAAUUGAAUAACAAUAUUAUAGGUGCCAGUAGUAAAUACUAAUGUCGUGAAACAGCUAAUAAACAACAAAACCUUCUGCAGGACGUCAUUUAUGUAUAAGCUAAGCGACACAACCAUCAUAUUUUGCCAUUUUUAACCUAUUUUAUCAUAUUUACGUACAGUGGUAUGCAUAUUAACAUGAAAUUAUUUAAAUGGUCCAAUAACAAUGAACACCAGGCAAAACCACAACACAUAUAAUUGCAUUGUGCACCAACAUUAAUGUUCAUUACUUCAUUCAUGAAUACUAAAUGUAAAUAUUCAACAACCUAUUCAAUUAUAAUUGUAUAAAGACACGUGAGAAUUUACAAAAUAUAAUCCUUACCUCAAAUCAAAUCAGCCUGUGGUUUGGCUUCACCUUUGUAUGAGUGAUUUGCCAAAUAUACUUUCACUACACUGAUUUUAGGUAUUAUUGUCCUAAUUUUAUUGCCAAAAGAUGUUCCUUUUAUCAAAACACGUGUAGUCUCUUUAUUAUUAGAAGAUAAUCAUUUGUUCUGUUUUCCUCAGCCAAUCAAUUAUCUAUAUUUGGAAGAAAUCGUCAAAUUUGCUUUCUUACUUUCGAUUAGAAAUCGUCAAAAAUGUCAAUUAACUAAAUUGUUUUUCUUCUCCAGUAUAAUAAUUGAGUCAAGUCGAAUAAUAAUUUAAUUAUUUUUCUACGUCCAACUAAAUUCUCCACCGCCCAUAAUUUUCCACUCCAGUCAGUACAAUUUGUACCCAAGUCAAAUGAAUAUAUGUACAAAUGAUGGCAAUGAUCUUAGGCAGAUAUCAGUUAAUUAAUUAAUUAGCCGUUAUUGGAAUUUAUUUUUAAAAUAUUGGGUAAAUUGGUGGAAUUGAGGAGUAUUAUGGCCUUGACGUUUGCCGUCAUCCUGUGCUGGUGGUGGUGAAAGUGGGUGGGUGGGCACCGCUUGCUCGGUGAAAGAGAAAGAUACAGAAAGUAGAAACUAAACGAAAGUCAGGUGAAAGUCCUUCCUUCUCUCCAACUGCGAAAAAGUUACGAGAUGAUGAUGAUGCAGGCGGGGAUCGUCCAUGUGUAGUUCAAUAAUUUUAAAUUUAAAUUUAAUUUUUCAGAAACAUACAUUUCGAAAAGUAUAAUUGUAAUUCAUAAAAUUUUAUGACAAGUUGAAACGUCGUUUGAUUUUUUAAUUCUUGGACAUUAUUUGUAUGAGAUCGGUUGUGAGAUGAGAUGACGUCAUUAUUUUAAUAAAAUUUAUUUUAUGUGAUUGUAAAUCAUUAAA